rnacentral:rRNA from 1 species
CAGCCGCCGCGGUAAUACGUAGGGUGCGAGCGUUCAUCGGAUUUACUGGGCGUAAAGCGUGCGCAGGCGGCCCGUUAAGACAGGUGUGAAAUCCCUGGGCUCAACCUAGGAAUUGCGCUUGUGACUGGCGGGCUCGAGUACGGUAGAGGGGGGGGGAAUUCCUGGUGUAGCAGUGAAAUGCGUAGACAUCAGGAGGAACACCGAUGGCGAAGGCAGCCCCCUGGGCCUGUACUGACGCUCAUGCACGAAAGCGUGGGGAGCAAACAGGAUUAGAUACCCUGGUAGUCCACGCCCUAAACGAUGGGUACUAGCCGUUUGGUGCGCGAUAGCGCUGAGUGGCGAAGCUAACGCGUGAAGUACCCCGCCUGGGGAGUACGGCCGCAAGGUUGAAACUUAAAGGAAUUGGCGGG